AGAACACCCCUUUUUGGGACUUUGUCUUAAGAGGUUUGUCCCUUACACAAUCGUCUGAUCCUUUUUAAUUGUUAGCGACUAACCCGCGCGAAACUCUAUAGAUGUAGAAUACAAAAGAGGAGUGAAUGCUUUAUUUUUUGCCAUUUUUUCAUCUGUGAAUUGUUAAUCAACCCAUCUCAUUCGUCGGCUCUAUGUGAUCUAUUGAAUAUUUCUUUCACCAAUGAGUUCUAUACAAGAUAUCAAACCUAUGAAUUUAUUUUAUUUGUGAUUUUGUUUGAAUCUAGAAAGAAUACAAAAAUAGACUAAGAUGCCACUUUGAAUUUGAAUGAAGAAAAUAAUAAAAAAUAUUGUUUUCAAAUAUCUCAAUUGGUCAAAUUCGAAACAAGUGUCUUCGAAUGAACGAAAGAAGCACUUUAAGGAAUGAAUAUUAUUGAGAUUUUGAGAUGAAAGAAUUCCUUUUCUACCAAAAUAUCCAAUAUUUCGAAAAAAUACCACCAAUUACCCAUAGCUAGGAAUAGAAUAAUUAAGAGAAAGAUAUUGUGAUGAUAAAAAAAAAUGAGUAGCUAAACAAGACAGAAAGUGUCCUGUUAUCAUUAUGAAGAAAACCAAUUGUUGGUUAUUAAGGAAGACAAAAGAAAAGAUAAAAAAAAGGUUGAUUGACAAAAAAGAAAUAAUUUACAAGAUAUGAUUCAUGUGCAUCUAAAGUACCAAUUCCAACAAAUAUUGAACUUAAAAAAAAAA
rnacentral:lncRNA from 1 species